rnacentral:rRNA from 1 species
ACGGCUCAGUAACACGUGGACAACGUGCCCUAAAGUGGAGCAUAAUCUCGGGAAACUGAGGAUAAUUCUCCAUAGACCAUGAGAUCUGGAACGACUUAUGGUUCAAAGUUCCGGCGCUUUAGGAUCGGUCUGCGGCCUAUCAGGUAGUAGUGGGUGUAACGUACCCCCUAGCCAAUUACGGGUAUGGGCCUUGAGAGAGGGAGCCCAGAGUUGGAUUCUGAGACACGAAUCCAGGCCCUACGGGGCGCAGCAGUCGCGAAAACUUCACAAUGGGCGAAAGCCCGAUGAGGGAAUUCCUAGUGCUAGCACAUUUGUGUUAGCUUUUCCUUAGCGUAGAUAACUAGGGGAAUAAGGGCUGGGUAAGACGGGUGCCAGCCGCCGCGGUAAUACCCGCAGCCCGAGUGGUGGUCGAUUUUAUUGAGUCUAAAACGUUCGUAGCCGGUCUGAUAAAUCCUUGGGUAAAUCGGGAAGCUUAACUUUCCGAAUUCCGAGGAGACUGUCAGGCUUGGGAUCGGGAGAGGUAUGAGGUACUUCAGGGGUAGGGGUAAAAUCCUGUAAUCCUUGGAGGACCACCGGUGGCGAAGGCGUCAUACUAGAACGAAUCCGACGGUGAGGGACGAAGCCCUAGGUCGCAAACGGGAUUAGAUACCCCGGUAGUCUAGGGUGUAAACGCUGCAGACUUGGUGUUGGGGGCCCUUCGGGGGCAUUCAGUGCCGGAGAGGAGUUGUUAAGUCUGCUACUUGGGGAGUACGUCCGCAAGGAUGAAACUUAAAGGAAUUGGCGGGGGAGCAC